AAUCUGGUGGCCUAAGUGGCUAAAGCGUCCGUCUCUGAUGAUGGAGGUCGCGGGUUCGAACCCCGACCAAGUUA